UACGGAGGAUGCAAGCGUUAUCCGGAAUGAUUGGGCGUAAAGCGUCCGCAGGUGGCUAUGUAAGUCUGCUGUUAAAGAGUGAGGCUCAACCUUAUAAGAGCAGUGGAAACUACAUGGCUAGAGUGCGUUCGGGGCAGAGGGAAUUCCUGGUGUAGCGGUGAAAUGCGUAGAUAUCAGGAGGAACACCGGUGGCGAAGGCGGCUACCUGGACAGAAACUGACGCUGAGGCGCGAAAGCUAGGGGAGCAAACAGG
rnacentral:rRNA from 1 species